UACGAAGGGGGCUAGCGUUGUUCGGAAUUACUGGGCGUAAAGCGCACGUAGGCGGGUUGUUAAGUCAGGGGUGAAAUCCCGGAGCUCAACUCCGGAACUGCCUUUGAUACCGGCAAUCUAGAGACUGGAAGAGGUUAGUGGAAUUCCCAGUGUAGAGGUGAAAUUCGUAGAUAUUGGGAAGAACACCAGUGGCGAAGGCGGCUAACUGGUCCAGUACUGACGCUGAGGUGCGAAAGCGUGGGGAGCAAACAGG
rnacentral:rRNA from 1 species